CGCCCCCCCGGUUGCCUCUCUCACCUUUGUCAGAUUAUACAAUGAAGUCCCUAAAUACGACAAGGAAGAAUAAUAGGAGUCCGUGACCGAGUCAAUGAGAUCUUCUUCGAGGGUUUGUAGAAACUACGGUCAGAAGAUGGCUGUUGAAUAUUUAGAGCUCUUAAUGCUGCUAAAUUAGAUAAGGUCAUAAUUUUGUAUGAUAUUUAAUUGAUUUGUGUUUAAAUCUUGUGUUAUAGUUUGAACGUGAACAAACUUUUUUUUUUUGUAUAUUGAUGUUUGUGGUUGAAAGCUAGAUUUUGCAUGAUGAACACCACCUUGAUAACCUUGUGGUCUAGAGCAGGUAACCUUAUGAGUCUAGAGUAGGUGAUGGCUUCAAUAAUGCAAUAGAGAAAUUGAAACUUGUAUUGAGUUUUCUGCAGCUAACCUUGUGCAGAUAUAUCGAGGCGUUAAACUGGCCACUGGGGUCUGGGAUACGAGUUUGAUAUAAGUUGCAUGGGUGACGAUGCCACAGCUAAGAAGUGGAGCAAGGAGAUCAAAACGGUUAGUUAAUCUCCAGCCUGCUACUCAUCCAAUUGACCAAACGGAAAACGUCACCGCACCAACGAGAACCAGAAGGAAGACGGGUGGUGGAAGGGGACGAGGUGAUGCUGCAGGUGUAAGAAAAGGGCUCGUGGCGGCAACGAUAGGUAGAACAGUGGCUGGCGGUAGAGGCAGAG